GAUGCACAGAAAGUUUUAUCUGAGAAUUCAUGAAUUUUCUGUUAUUAUAAAGAUGUAUUUAUGCAGUGAUGUUCGUUCUUUUAGUUCGCAUUCUUAUUUUAGGUAUAUUUUGCCGGAAUGAAGCCAGAAAAUAACCUUGCAAAAUUCCAUGCUUCAAUUUGUGCCCACUGGGCACCAAAGAACACCUGUGCAAAAAACAGAGAAGCGUCCCACGGACAAACGUGAUCGAACAGAGGACAUCGUGGAUGGUAGAUAUUUUAGAAACGUCUUCCAAUUGGAUGGAAUUAAUUAUCGCGCCUGAUGACGAACCAUCGACGAAAUGUGUGUGAAGCUGCUCGAACGUUAAACUGCGCAAGCGAAUUUCAAAAUCAGCCAGAUGACUUGUUAGGAGAGCAGAAGAUUUUAUCACAAUCCACCAUGUCAGAAUAAAAAAACACUUCGUGU